AACGAACGCUGGCGGCAUGCCUAACACAUGCAAGUCGAACGAGACCUUCGGGUCUAGUGGCGCAAGGGUGCGUAACGCGUGGGAACCUGCACUUAGGUUCGGCAUAACUCCCCGAAAGGGGUGCUAAUACCGGAUAAUGUCUUCGGACCAAAGAUUUAUUGCCUUUGGAUGGGCCCGCGUUGGAUUAGCUAGUUGGUAGGGUAAAAGCCUACCAAGGCGACGAUCCAUAGCUGGUCGGAGAGGAUGAUCAGCCACACUGGGACUGAGACACGGCCCAGACUCCUACGGGAGGCAGCAGUGGGGAAUAUUGGACAAUGGGCGAAAGCCUGAUCCAGCAAUGCCGCGUGAGUGAUGAAGGCCUUAGAGUUGUAAAGCUCUUUUAACCGGGAUGAUAAUGACAGUACCGGGAGAAUAAGCUCCGGCUAACUCCGUG
rnacentral:rRNA from 1 species